rnacentral:rRNA from 1 species
UACGUAGGGGGCGAGCGUUGUCCGGAUUUACUGGGCGUAAAGGGUGAGUAGGCGGUUAUAUAUGUCAGGUGUAAAAGGCUAUGGCUUAACCAUGGUUAGCACUUGAAACUGUAUGACUUGAGUGCAGGAGAGGUAAGCGGAAUUCCUAGUGUAGCGGUGAAAUGCGUAGAUAUUAGGAGGAACACCAGUGGCGAAGGCGGCUUACUGGACUGUAACUGACGCUGAGUCACGAAAGCGUGGGGAGCAAACAGGAUUAGAUACCCUGGUAGUCCCU